CUUGAGCUGUAGAAGUCCAGAAGAAUUUCAGGAACUGGACGUUUCUCAAAAGACUGAAAUGUACGGACAAAAAUUCAACCUGUGCCCAUAGGCUUCCCGCCUGAUUGUGAUCUUCUCUGCCUGACUGCCUGACCUCUGAACUUUGAACUUGCUUGGCCAGCUCCCACAACUGUUUAAACCAUGACUUUCACAGACCAUCAGUAUCCUUCUAACGUAGCUUCCAGAGCGCCAACCAGUGUAAUUGGUACUGUCACUUGGAUGAAGAAGGGUGUCUCUGAAAUGAUUUCUUAGUCCUCAACUGUUCCACAACUGAGUCUCAUCAAUCAACAACCCAUUUUCACCAUAUAUGUCUUUGAUCAAAGUUUAUUUUGGAAUCAGAAGACAAUGGAAGAAAUGGAGUGCGGGAAGACUGAAGAAAAAAAAGUGGAAGGGUAUCUUUACGACUCUGGGUGAAAGGUUUUCAAUCUAAGAUCUGCUCCAUCCAAAUCAGGACGUCAGGAGAAGAGGAACAUUAAACAGGGACACACACACAGAGAGGGACAGGAAAUAUCUGGAUGACAGCCGUUCUGUGGACUGGAAAGCAAGUUGUCCAAUUUGGGACGAGAGGCCUGAGGGUUCCCAGGAAAUACAUGUAUUUUCAAAAAAUGAUAAUAAUAUUAACUAAUAAUGUGUGUGUAU